GAUUACUCCUACGGGAGGCAGCAGUGGGGAAUUUUGGACAAUGGGGGCAACCCUGAUCCAGCCAUUCCGCGUGAGUGAAGAAGGCCUUCGGGUUGUAAAGCUCUUUCGCAAGGGAAGAAAACUUAUGAUCGAAUAAAUCAUGAGGUUGACGGUACCUUGAUAAGAAGCACCGGCUAACUACGUGCCAGCAGCCGCGGUAA
rnacentral:rRNA from 1 species